rnacentral:lncRNA from 13 species
CAGCAGGCCAGCAUGGGGAGGGAGGCCCCGUGACGGCGCCUCCCUCUUCCUCAUGGAAAGGCUCUUCCAGGCCCCAGCCCUUGCUGUCCCAACAAGAGGGCCUUCUGGGGCCACGCCAGGGUGUGAUGCUGGAGGGGAGGAGUUGGCUGGACAGGGGGCCUGGUGACUGCAGGCCUCCCAUGAGGCCCCUGCUGACUGUCUGGCCCUCCUCACUCAUGGGCAGGGGCUGAUGGAAGAGAAAGUCCAAGGCAGGAAAGAGAGCGGGGACCAUACUCCUCCCUCAGCUAGGCCUGUUCACACCGGGCUGUGGCCAGGACCACACAGCAGCCACCGAGCCCAGGUGCCGGGCGCUCCACCAGGCCCGGGUUCAGAGCAUCUAGGCUGUUUCAAGAGUGCUGCUGAGUUCGUUUCAACAGCAGAUGGCUCCUGCAGGAGCCUUGAAAGCCAAAAGCCACAAUCACCGCAACACCCAGCAGCCUGGAAGCCCCCGGAAGUGGCAGAUCAUGGUGGGAGCUCCUUCGAAGGCUUAGUGCUGAGGACUGUUGUCACUCCAAUGCCUGUGGGUCCCUGGAAAACCCUGCUGGCAAGGCUGCCGCCAUGUGACCUGCCUGGGAGCUCCCCCAGUAAGAAAAGCCUUUUUCCCAAGGGGAUUUGUCAAAAAUGAUUUGGAAGAAAUCACCUAACUUCAUGGCUAAGGAGGCACCUGGCAGCUGGAGCAGACACUGGACUCGCCGAAAGACUGAGGAGGAAAAGCGGGCAAUGAGAAGUGCAGAGAUGCCUUCAGAGGCUCCAGCGUGUUCCGCAGGCCCUGGGGGGCCGUGCACAUUUCCAGGCACCCGGAGGCCCUGCGAAUUUCUGGGCUGUGAACAUGCUCAGGAAGGACGUGGGGUGGCUGAGAUCUCACCUCUGGGUGAGCUUGAGGCUCUGAGCAGCAGGACGGCAGGCUAAGGUAGAGUUGCUGCCCGCCUGGCUGAGGGUCCGAGGUGGCCCAAGCACCCCACAGAGCCCUUGGCAAGGCCUGGGAAGCUUUGGCAUUGAAGGCCAUUUCUGUCCAAUCGUUAGCCACCCACCGCACUGCUGAGAAAAGGUUGCAGGGUCCACACACGACACAGAAAGCAGACUCCAGAAGGAGGCCAGAGAAGUCACUCAGCAAACAAAACCGCAGCCACACAGCCCAGGGAAGGGGGCCCGAUUUCCACAGGAGCCACAUUAUUUACUAAAAUGCCCAGGUAUUAACAAAAACUUACCAGACAUGCAAAUAAUCAUGAAAGUGAGGCCCCUAUACAGGGCGAAAUCAAUAGAAACUUCCAGAAAUGGCCCAGGCACUGGAUUUAUUAGCAGAGACGUUAAACUCAUUGUCUAAAAUAUGCUCAAUAAACAAGGAAAGCAUGUCUAAAGGGUUAAAAGA